AUUGUCAAUAGGGGUGUCUUGUGGCUUCAAAUAUCUAAUAAAUUAUUGUGGAGGGGAUGGUAUAGAUUUGCCAGUUACAUUCUUUUUCUUAUCUUAAAUAUGUACUAAAGCAGAAAGGCCACCUCCUAUCUCUUACAUCCAGAAAUCCACAUACCUACCCCAGGCACCAAAGCAUGUCAUAUCUCAGGUGCAUUGCUGGUCUGCUAGUAAUUCAUUUGACCUGUUAAAUGCAGGAAUAAUUCUAGACCAUUAGAAUUGGAAAGAACCUUCUCUUUAGAGCAGAGCGCCCCAAGGUUCCAGCAUUAGUUGUGGUAACAUUCUGACUAGAGUCUGUUUCUUCAGAGUAAUCCUUCUGUCCUUUUCCCUCUUUACCCAGACAUGUCUACUUUUCCCUCUAGUUCCUCAAGUAGCU
rnacentral:lncRNA from 1 species